rnacentral:tRNA from 1 species
GCCUGGGUGGCCCAGUGGGUAGAGCAUCUGGCUUCAACUCAGGUCCUGAUCCCAGGGUCCUGGGGUCGAGCCCCAGGUUAGGCU